ACCGCGAAGGGACGCUCGUUUCG
rnacentral:siRNA from 1 species